GGGGGAAUACUUUUUUUUCUUUGUUUUUGUUCUUUGUUUUGUUUUGUUUUUGUUUUCUUUUUUAAAAAAAAAUUGCAUUUUUGUUGAAAGUUUUAGUCUAUAGAAUAAUUCGAGGUCGUGUUUGCGAAGACUUGGGAAAAAUUCACAAGAUCGGUAUUGUUUUAACACCGUAAGUCUCCUGUAUAUGGAAAUUAAGUUGAAUUUUUAUUAUGUUUUAGUCUUACAUUCUCAUCCUCUGACAGCUCUUGAGUAGUUUAUUUCAGCAGUCAGCACCAUCUCACACACACUCUACGCAGGGAAGCCGAUGAAUAUAAGUG
rnacentral:lncRNA from 1 species